rnacentral:rRNA from 1 species
CGGACGGGUGAGUAAUGCGUAGGAAGCUACCCGAUAGAGGGGGAUACCAGUUGGAAACGACUGUUAAUACCGCAUAAUGUCUACGGACCAAAGUGUGGGACCUUCGGGCCACAUGCUAUCGGAUGCGCCUACGUGGGAUUAGCUAGUUGGUGAGGUAAUGGCUCACCAAGGCGACGAUCCCUAGCUGGUUUGAGAGGAUGAUCAGCCACACUGGAACUGAGACACGGUCCAGACUCCUACGGGAGGCAGCAGUGGGGAAUAUUGGACAAUGGGCGAAAGCCUGAUCCAGCCAUGCCGCGUGUGUGAAGAAGGCCUUCGGGUUGUAAAGCACUUUCAGUAGGGAGGAAGCGUUGAGUGUUAAUAGUACUCAGCGUUGACGUUACCUACAGAAGAAGCACCGGCUAACUCUGUGCCA